rnacentral:rRNA from 1 species
ACUCAAAUGAAUAGACGGGGGCCCGCACAAGCGGUGGAGCAUGUGGCUCAAUUCGAUGCAACGCGAAGAACCUUACCUGGGUUUGACAUGCAUCUCUAAGUCGGUGAAAGCCGAUGAGUGUAGCAAUACACAAUUUGCACAGGUGCUGCAUGGCUGUCGUCAGCUCGUGUCGUGAGAUGUUCGGUUAAGUCCGGCAACGAGCGCAACCCUCGUCCUUAGUUGCCAGCGGGUAAUGCCGGGGACUCUAGGGAGACAAACCUCUUUGUAGAGGUGGGAAGGUGGGGACGACGUCAAGUCAGUAUGGCCCUUACACCCAGGGCUGCACACGUGCUACAAUGCCUGAUACAAAAGGACGCAAAACCGCGAGGUGGAGCAAAUCCCUAAAAUCAGGCCCAGUUCAGAUUGGAGUCUGCAACUCGACUCCAUGAAGCCGGAAUCGCUAGUAAAGGUGUAUCAGCAACGGCACCUUGAAUACGUUCCCGGGCCUUGCACACACCGCCCGU